GUUUGCAGAAGAUGUUGCAUGACAGAAACACGAAUUCUUCUCUGGUCUAAACUGACUGAAGUCUUUUGGUUUGUAGUCAAGACUGAAAACUCUCUCCAAUGAUGCAAGGAUCUCCGUCCAGCGUGUGGCUGUAUCCACGUGCUGUGAUCCGUCAUAUCUGCAAUCUACAGCCUGGAGGUGCACAUGGGAAGGACAGGACUCAUGGCAGUGAGCAAAGUGAGGGGGAAAAAUAAAACCCUGUACCACUUGUGCAGCCAUGCUAUAAGCAUACUCUUACUGAAGAAGGCUAGACAACUGUGGCCACAGCAGUAUGCAUAUGGAUGUGUCCUCAGGCUGUCUCUGUUCCACAUGUGACACUUGAGACAUGAGGAGAUUUGGUGUUCCUGUCCAUGUGUAGGUUUCUUCAGCACCAGUGUUAGGCAAGCAGAGGAAAGAGCCCGUGAACAACCAGCUUCUGGUAAGGCUUGCAUUGAAGAUGGUGAUAAACUCUUCUUCUCUGACACCAGAGUGUGAAAUUGACUACAAGGCAGAUUGUUUUGAGACAAACAAGCACUUGGCUGAAUAAACAGGGGUGCAAUCAUGAGUGGCAAAACAAACAACACAGACACUGCAGUGCUGCUUUUCAGGUGUGUCAAAUCAUGCAUCAUGUCCUGUAAACAGAUCUGGCAACGACAAAUCCUUGAUGAAGCCUCCUUGGGGAUAGUGUUUCCCUGACAUCAGAUCAACAGCCUAAUCCUGUCUCCAAGGUGAAGGGGGGAAAUAAAUCUGCAACUCCAAGUCCAUUUUGGAAAUGAAAAACCCAGAAGCACACCAGGCCAGUGACGUGCAACAGCUACAAAUAAGCACCUUGGAUGAAUUAAGGGGAGAGAGUACCUGGACUGCCUCAUCAGCUGAAUUACCACCCAAGCAUCCCAGGAAUAAAAGGGAAGAAAAUGCAGACAUCUGCAAAUUUGCACCUACUCUGUAAGGAUCCCAGUGACAUGCAACAGCUACAAAUAAGCAUCUUGGAUGAAUUAAGAGGAGAGAGUGCCUGGACAGCCUCAUCAGCUGAAUUACCACCCAAGCAUCCCAGGAACAAAAGGAAGAAAAUGCAGACAUCUGCAAAUUUGCACCUACUCUGUAAGGAUCCCAUCAGCAGUGUCCCGUCCCUCAGGAGUGUCCCAGAAUACUUUGGCUGUCAGCUUGUUGGGCUCUGCAAUUUUCUCCUUCACACUUGGGCACUUGAUCCUUGGAGGUUCAGCAUCUGUUGGAGUAAAUGUCACAAGAAUGAGCAUCAGUGCAUCUGUUACAGCUGUGCAUUUUCUUCACAGCUCUUGCCCUGCUGUUACCAUAAUCUAGGACCACCUUCAGACGGCCUCCCUCAACACUGAAGCUAUCCCAGCCAAGGCACACAGAGCCUGUACACUUCUCACCUCUUCAUAAAGAGAUGAUAAUGAUCAACACCAUGCCACACAAAAGACUAAUUCUCAGUAGGUAUUGUAAAUGUCUUUGCAUAGCUCCUAGUUAAAAAGCAGCAGCAACAAAUGGACAUCAUUUAUCUUUGAACUCUAAGGAAGGGAAGCUCAAGAUUGUACUGGAGGAGCCUAGAUGUCCUGCUCACCUGCUCUUCCUCUCUCUAUUCAUCUGUGCAGUAGGCACUGUGAUUAAAACCAGCUGUAAAGCACACCAAA